rnacentral:tRNA from 1 species
GUGGUUGUAGCUCAGUCGGUUAGAGAGCCUGUCUGUGGAACAGGAGGACGAGGGUUCGAGUCCCUUCAGCCACCCCA